rnacentral:misc_RNA from 1 species
GAUAAUUCUGGUGCAGAUGUUAUUUUGGGUAUUUUGCCGUUUGCUAGAGAAUUACUUCGUCAUGGAGCACAGGUUGUUUUAGCUGCUAAUGACUUACCUUCUAUCAAUGAUGUUACUUACCCCGAGUUAGUAGAGAUUAUUUCUAAGUUGAAAGAUGAGCAUGGGAAGCUCAUAGGUGUUGACACAUCCAAUCUUUUAGUUGCCAAUUCUGGUAAUGAUUUGCCGGUUAUUGAUCUUACAACGGUAUCUCAGGAGCUGGCAUACUUGGCAAGUGAUGCUGACCUCGUCAUUGUAGAAGGCAUGGGCCGCGGAAUAGAGACAAACUUGUAUGCUCGAUUCAAAUGUGAUUCCCUCAAGAUUGGAAUGGUAAAGCAUCCGGAAGUUGCUCAGUUUCUUGGAGGAAGGCUUUAUGAUUGCGUCUUCAAAUUUAACGAAGCUUCAAGUUAAAUAGUUUAGGUAUCAACUAUAUCAAGUUCUUUCUGGAAGUUUAGACAAACCCAACAAAUUGAAGAUAUUGGUAAAUCAUUAUAUUGGAUAUUAUUUGCAACUUUUUUUGAAAGUUGGAUUGCAAAUGAAGCAUCUGUGUUAAUGCUUCCUUGUGCUUAGGUGCAUCUGCAGUAGUGUAACCUUGCAGGUAUAUCACAUUGCAGCUUGAUCUUACCUCUUUCCAGCAGUAAAUGCCUCUUUUUUCUCCUGUAUUUUUCGGAAUCAUUUGUAAUAAAGAUAUUGGCUAGCUACGA